AGAGAUAUUAAGGAAUAGUGAUUGUUGCUUCCUGUUAGUUUUGAUGUUAUUUUUAUGUUUGUGUGGCUAUCUUCUUUUGUGUUUGUUGAAAGAAGAUUAAUUUCUUUUUCUAGGGUGUAGUUUUCCUCUUUGUGUUAGAGUAUUCUAUCUAUUAUACUGUAUAAGGCUGAAUUUGUGGUAAGAUACCUUAUAGAUUUGGUUUUGUCAUGGAAUAUCUUGGUUUCUCCAUCUAUGGUAAUUGAGAGUUUUGCUGGGUAUAGUAGCCUGGCUGGCAUUUGUGUUCUCUUAGAUUCUGUAAGACAUCUGCCCAGGAUCUUCUGGCUUUCAUAGUCUCUGGUGAGAAGUCUGGUGUAAUUCUGAUAGGUCUGCCUUUAUAUGUUACUUGACCUUUUUCCCUUACUGCUUUUAAUAUUCUUUCUUUGUUUUGUGCAUUUGGUGUCUUGACUAUUAUGUGACAGGCGGAAUUUCUUUUCUGGUCAAAUCUAUUUGGAAUUCUGUACACUUGUAUGUUUAUGGGCAUCUCUUUCUUUAGGUUAGGGAAGUUUUCUAUAAUUAUGUUGAAGAUAUUUACUGGCCCUUAAAUUUGGAGUCUUCAUUCUCUUCUAUAACUAUUAUCCUUAGGUUUGGUCUUCUCAUUGUGUCUUGGAGUUCCUGCAUGUUUUGGGUUAGGAGCUUUUUGCAUUUUGCAUUUUCUUUGACUGUUGUGUCAAUGUUUUCUAUGAUAUCUUCUGCAUCUGAGAUUCAAUCUCUUGUAUUCUAUUGGUGAUGUGUGUGUCUGUGACUUCUGAUCUCUUUCCUAGGUUUUCUAUUUUUCAGGGUUGUGUCCUUUUGUGAUUUCUUUACUGCUUCUAUUUCCAGUUUUAGAUCCUGCAUGGUUUUGUUCAAUUCCUUCACCUGCUUGGUUGUGUUUUUAUGUAAUAUAUUAAGGGGUUCUUUGUUUUCUAUGUAAGGGCUUCUAGCUGUUUACCUGUGUUCUCUUGUAUUUCUUUAAGGGAGCUAUGUAUGUCCUUUGUAAAGUCCCCUAUCAUCAUCAUAUCAGACACAUACACAUACUUUUUAAUUAUUGGUCUGUUAAUUUUUAUAUUCUUGCUGUGUCUCUUUGAUUCUCUUUUAAUUUCUUCAAAGUUUUUUUUUUCUACCUUUUAGUAUAUUUUACUUUUGCUGCAGUAGAUACUGUGGCCCCGUAACAGGAACCAAGGUAAAUAAAUAGAUAGACCUUAAGUAAUAUAGUGGCGUAAGGAAUGGGCAGAGAAAGCUUUCUAUAUCUGUAUAAUUGUCUUAGUCCGUAAGUCUUUCUGUGACCUGAAUUCUAAAUUUCACAAUCCCUUUCUCAGCUUUAACCAUCCCUUUUCCUCUCUAGAGAGGAGACAAUGGCUGUACUGAUCUGAGUUGCUCUCCACUCGUGCUCCUGCCUGGCCCUCGGGCUGCAAAGUCUCCAUGCCAACUUGGGGGCUCUGCCUCCCCCCCCCCUUCCCCUUCUGAAAGUUCAGCAUAUCUGGGUAUAGCAGGGUAUAGCUAGCUGGCUAUCUUCUAAGAUAGAACUUGUUAAGAACAGAAUGCUUUGGACUGGGUCUGACAACAUGAGUUGAUUUCCAUGGUGGAUGGAAAGAACCACAGCUUUGAGAACAAUUUCUUGUGACCUCUACACAUGUAUAUCCAACUUAGCAAACCCCACCCCACCAUAAAUCAAGAACAUUAAACAAACAAAAAACUAGAAGAGAAUUUCUAAGUAUUCUCCAGUGGUUCCUUUCUGAGAAGCACUGAGAGGUCUUCUCCCUAAAUCCCCUCUGAGAACCUGCUAGAAUUUCUUCAGGUGAAAUUCAUAAAUGUAAUUGUCUUCUUCUGGCAUGUGUGCCUUUGCCUGGUCUAUGCCUUUAGAAUAGCUACCUUGUAACAAUUCCCCAGUUUUAGUUUAGCUGCUUGACCUUGUCCAGUGUUCUGUCGAGGUAAGUUGUUCUUCUCUGAUUGGCUUCUCUGGUUUGUGACUUCACUUUUCUGACAACAGAAGAGUUGAUAAUCUUUCAGUUUGUUAAGCUUUUCACUUGUUUUAGAAUAAACUAAAGACUUGAUUUCACCCAGGAUUUCUCACUGAACCUGGAACUCACUGAUACAGCAAAUCUUAUUGGCAGUGAGCUCAGGGGACCGUGUGUCUUUGUAUUCCCAAUGCUAGUAUCAUGUAGUCAUAUAGUCCGUUCCACUAAGGACUUCAUGCUUGUACGGCUGUGAAGUCUAAACUGGACAGUCUGGAAAAGAGGAGCAUCUGGGAGGCUUGGGGUAAUGGGAGGGGCAGGUAAAAUGUAAUUUCAGAAAGUCAACCUCUGGUAUGCAACUCUGGGCUGAACAUAGGUGGACAUAAAGGUAUACACACAGACCAUCAAACAGGCUGCAGAGAAGUAGGCAGAACGACCUACAGGCCAGCAACAGACAUGCUGGUGAAGGGCAUAUUUUUAGAAAAACAAAAACAAAACCACAAUAAUGGCAUGUGGCCAGGAGUAGUUAUAUAACGUGUGCAUCCAUUUCUGUCUGUGGCUUUUAUAUUAUUUUUUUCACCAUAAGAGUGUGUGUGUGUGUGCUGUAUUGCAUUAUAUUACAUUGCAUACUGUAUGUAGAGGUCAGAGUGGGGCUGAUUACAUAGCUCUGGCUAUUGUGGAACUAAGUAUGUAGACCCAGUCUUUCUCCACUCUUGUUUCUGACUCAAGAUAGUUUCUGUACCUGGCUCUCCUGGUUAUCGAGGGAAAAAUCUAUAAGUUUUUGACCAAUAUUUGGCACCUCCUCAGAAUGGCUGCGUUUCUUUUGUCUCCUUGCCACUGUUGAUGACAGAGCCUUCUUUGUGCAACAGUAGGGUACCAGCAUGGUUUUUAUUUUAUUUUUAAUUUUUUUUUUUUUUCGAGACAGGGUUUCUCUAAAGCCCUGGCUGUCCUGGAACUCAUGCCGGUCUUGAACAUCUAGAGAUCUGCCUGCCUCUGCCUCUAGAGUCCUGGGAUUAAAGAUGCCCUGCAUAAAAUAUAUUCUUAAUUAUUAAAUUGCUUGUAAAUCACAAUAGGUCAAUAUUUGCAUGCAUAAAGGGACUCUCAUUACAGCCAAAUAGGUUUUUUUUUUUCCCCUAGAGGAAAGGAUACAAAGACUGUAUCAUGUAGAUGGGGAGAUGGCUCAGUAGUUAAGAGCAUUGUUUGUUCUUGUAGAGGACACAGAUUUGGUUGCUAGUGUUCACAUGGUGGGUAACAGCCAUUUGUAAUUCCAGUUCCAAAAGAUCUGACACCCUCUUUUGUCCUUUGUAGGAACUGCACACUUGUGGUACAUAGACAAGACACCCAUAUACAUAGAAUAAAAACAAGUGAAGCUUUAAAAAAAAAAAAAACACAUCAGUAUAUGAAAAAAGGACACGGGGAGGGGUUGUUUUGGCGCCGUGGUUCAGUGAGUUAGAGCACUGUUGCUCUUGUUGAGGACCUGGGUUCAAUCCUCAGCACUCACAUGAUGGCUCUCAACCACACAUAACUAGAGUAAUUCCAGGGGUGUCUGACCCCUUUCAAACAUGCACGUGCUGUACCACCUUUAUACGUGCAGGUGAGACACUGAUAAAUAC
rnacentral:lncRNA from 1 species